CAGGCGGGUCGGAGGGUCGCGGAGCGUUUUGCGCUUCGAGGAAAGUCCGCACUCCAUAGGGCGCGGUGCCGGGUAACACCCGGAGCGGGGACUCCCACGGGAGGAACCUGCUGGAUUGGGCCACAGAAAGAUACCGCUCGCAAGAGCAAGGGUGAAAUGGCGGUGUAAGAGACCACCGGCGCACGUAGUAAUACGGCGGCCAGGCAACCCCCACCGGGAGCAAGGCCAAGCAGGGACGAUGUCCGCGUUCGCGCGGCGGGAAGCGGCUCGCUUUCUCAUCAGUCCCGGGUAGGCUGCACGAGCUGGACGGCGACGUCCAGCCUAGAGAGAUGACCAUCCCUUCGGGAGUCGUGCGUGGGCAUACCCUCCUGAU
rnacentral:RNase_P_RNA from 1 species